rnacentral:rRNA from 1 species
GACGAACGCUGGCGGCGUGCUUAACACAUGCAAGUCGAACGGAAAGGCCCUGCUUUUGUGGGGUGCUCGAGUGGCGAACGGGUGAGUAACACGUGAGUAACCUGCCCUUGACUUUGGGAUAACUUCAGGAAACUGGGGCUAAUACCGGAUAGGAGCUCCUGCUGCAUGGUGGGGGUUGGAAAGUUUCGGCGGUUGGGGAUGGACUCGCGGCUUAUCAGCUUGUUGGUGGGGUAGUGGCUUACCAAGGCUUUGACGGGUAGCCGGCCUGAGAGGGUGACCGGCCACAAUGGGACUGGGGUACGGCCCAGACUCCUACGGGGGGCAGCAGGGGGGAAUAUUGCACAAUGGGCGGAAGCCUGAUGCAGCAACGCCGCGUGCGGGAUGACGGCCUUCGGGUUGUAAACCGCUUUCGCCUGUGACGAAGCGUGAGUGACGGUAAUGGGUAAAGAAGCACCGGCUAACUACGUG